GUUGGGGUGUGGUUGGGACUUGGAAGCUAGCAUAAUCGUGCUGCUUAUCAAAUAAAACUGAAAGGAUCUUAUAUGGGAUUGGGUUGCUCUCCAAGUCUUUCAAGAAUCUACACUUGUUUGAUAGAUAAUAAACUUAGAAAAAGCAGAUGGGUUUGAAAGUUUUUAGAGUUGUAAUUUGAGUUGGAAUGUUUACAACCAGCUAUGGCCAGUUACCAUGGGAAACAUCACGCAUGGUCCACUUUAAAAUGACAAGCACCGCAACAUUCAAAACUUUAUCGGGUAUAAUUUAGGAUGC
rnacentral:lncRNA from 1 species